UUCAAUUUUUGAAGUUUCUCUAGCUUUUUUGUUGGGUGAAAUCAGUAUAAGAAGCUCUUUCUUCUUUAAAAAUUAGUAGGAACUAAAAAACUUUGAUUUAAAACCAGGAUUAGAUACCCUGUUAUUCUCAGUUAUUCUUAAACAGGGUAGUAAAAGUUGUUCUUCAAACCCAAAGAUUUUGGCGGCACUUUAUCCAAAUAGAGGAGCUUGUCCCUUAAUCGAUAGUCCUCGUUUUAUCUUUCCUUCAUUUGUAAAGCUUGUAUACCGCCGUUGUCAGAUUACUUUUAGAGAAUGUUUUCAAGUUAAAAGACUUUAUAACUUCAGGUCAAGGUGCAGUUUAUAUGGGGGUGGAGGUGAGCUACAGUUUUCUUUAGAAAAUACGGAUUCUAAGCUUUGAAGCUAGCUGAAGGUGGAUUUACUACUAAAGUAA
rnacentral:rRNA from 1 species